rnacentral:rRNA from 1 species
CCUACGGGUGGCAGCAGUGGGGAAUAUUGGGCAAUGGGCGCAAGCCUGACCCAGCAACGCCGCGUGAGGGAAGAAGGCUUUCGGGUUGUAAACCUCUUUUAGGAGGGAGGAGCGCAAGACGGUACCUCUUGAAUAAGCCACGGCUAACUACGUGCCAGCAGCCGCGGUAAUACGUAGGUGGCAAGCGUUGUCCGGAGUUACUGGGUGUAAAGGGCGUGUAGCCGGGCUGACAAGUCAGAUGUGAAAUCCCGUGGCUCAACCAGGGAACUGCAUUCGAAACUGGCGGGCUUGAGUAUCGGAGAGGGAGGCGGAAUUCCUAGUGUAGCGGUGAAAUGCGUAGAUAUUAGGAGGAACACCAGUGGCGAAGGCGGCCUGCUGGACGAAAACUGACGGUGAGGCGCGAAAGCGUGGGGAGCAAACAGGAUUAGAUACCCUAGUAGUC